rnacentral:rRNA from 1 species
UACGUAGGGACCAAGCGUUGUUCGGAUUUACUGGGCGUAAAGGGCGCGUAGGCGGCUUGACAAGUCACUUGUGAAAUCUCCGGGCUUAACUCGGAACGGCCAAGUGAAACUGUCAUGCUAGAGUGCAGAAGGGGCAAUCGGAAUUCUUGGUGUAGCGGUGAAAUGCGUAGAUAUCAAGAGGAACACCUGAGGUGAAGACGGGUUGCUGGGCCGACACUGACGCUGACAGCGCGAAAGCCAGGGGAGCAAACGGG